rnacentral:tRNA from 1 species
GGUUUUGUAGUUUAUAAAAACACCUCACUUACAAUGAGGAAAAGAAUUAAUUGAUUCCGGAACUU